rnacentral:rRNA from 1 species
UACGUAGGGUGCAAGCGUUGUCCGGAAUUAUUGGGCGUAAAGAGCGUGUAGGCGGCUUUACAGGUCCGUUGUGAAAACUCGAGGCUCAACCUCGAGACGCCGGUGGAAACCGUAAAGCUAGAGUCCGGAAGAGGAGAGUGGAAUUCCUGGUGUAGCGGUGAAAUGCGCAGAUAUCAGGAAGAACACCCGUGGCUAAGGCGGCUCUCUAGUACGUGACUGACGCUGAGACGCGAAAGCGUGGGGAGCGAACAGG